UACGUAGGGAGCAAGCGUUGUCCGGAAUCAUUGGGCGUAAAGCGCGCGUAGGCGGCCUCAUAGGUCCGUUGUGAAAGUCAAAGGCUCAACCUUUGAAAGCCGAUGGAUACUGUGAGGCUAGAGUCCGGAAGAGGCGAGUGGAAUUCCUGGUGUAGCGGUGGAAUGCGCAGAUAUCAGGAGGAACACCAAUAGCGAAGGCAGCUCGCUGGGACGGUACUGACGCUAAGGCGCGAAAGCGUGGGGAGCGAACAGG
rnacentral:rRNA from 1 species